UUGCCAUUCCUGUCGAUCUUGAGAAAGUAUUUGGUGAAAGAGAAAAGUUUCCUCCACCGCACGUCUCCUUCCAGGUAUUUGUAGCUGCGCACAUGCCUUCCCAGGCUGGAUGAAGACCUUGUAAUAUUUGGAGACAACAUAUCUCUGCUGAUGUCAUUGCAAGCAACAGACGAAGAACAGAUGAGGAACAGGAGAAGGACAUAAGCCAGGUACCUACUGUAAAGAGAAUUACGUGAACAAAUGAUUAGAAGUGCAAAGGUUGCGGGAAGGAAGGGGUGAUGAAACAAAGGAUCUACAACAUUUUAAGAACGUGAAUCGACAAAGUCGAGGAAGAAAAGCUGAUGGGAAAGAGAGAAUGAAAGAUGGAAAGAGAGAAUUCAUGUUAUUCUAAGUUAAUUUGAAUAUGAUAUCACUCAUUGAUUGGCCUGGCUUUACAUGAAAUGUGUGUGUGAGUGUGUGUGAGUGUGUGUGCAUGUGUUUGUGCGUUUGUGCUUCUGUAUGCGCACAUGUAUGUGUGUGUUUGUGUACAUU